rnacentral:rRNA from 1 species
CCCUUAGAUGUUCUGGGCAGCACGCGCGCUACAAUGGUCUUCGCAAACGGAUGCAUUCUCGAAGGAGAAUGCCAAUCUUGGAAUCUAUGCCUUGGUCGGGACAGUUGCUUGCAAUUUUUCGACUCGAACCAGGAAUUCCUUGUAAUCGAGAUUCAUCACAUCACGAUGAAUACGUCCCUGCCCUUUGUACACACCGCCCGUCGCUCCUACCGAUCGAAGAGUUAGGUGAAUUGUUUUGAUCGAUAAGAUUUGACUAUGGUCAACUCUCGUUGUGAAAUUCUGUGAAUCUGACUGUUUAGAGGAAGGAAAAGUCGUAACA